AUCGAACGCUUGCGGCAGGCCUAACACAUGCAAGUCGAACGCGUGGCGGACGGGUGAGUAACGUUUGGUAAACUGCCCGAUGGAGGGGGAUAACUCCUGGAAACGGUAGCUAAUACCGCAUACCAUCGGAUGUGCCCAGAUGGGAUUAGCUGGUAGGUGAGGUAACGGCUCACGUAGGCGACGAUCCCUAGCUGGUCUGGGAGGAUGACCAGCGACACUGGAACUGAGACAGGGUCCAGACUCCGACGUGAGGCAGCAGUGGGGAAUGUUGCACGAUGGGCGCAAGCCGGAGGCGGCCAUGGCGCGUGUAUGAAGAGGGCCUUCGGGUUGUAAAGUACUGUCCGAGGGGAGGCGUUACCCGCGCAAGAAGCCCCGGCUGACUCCGUGCCAGCAGCCGCGGUAAUAC
rnacentral:rRNA from 1 species